AGCAACAGAUUGAAAACAUAUUUGAACAAAUAAUAAAGGAGAACUUCCACAUUCUGGCAAAGGAAAUAGACUUCCAGGAAAUCCAGGAAGCUCAGAGAGCCCCAAAGAAGUUGGACCCAAAGAGGCACAGACCAAGGCACAUCGUCAUUAAGUUAACCAAGAGUAAAGAUACAGACAGAAUCUUAAAAGCAGCAAGA